rnacentral:rRNA from 1 species
UACGGAGGGAGCUAGCGUUGUUCGGAAUUACUGGGCGUAAAGCGCACGUAGGCGGCUAUUCAAGUCAGAGGUGAAAGCCCGGGGCUCAACCCCGGAACUGCCUUUGAAACUAGAUAGCUAGAAUCUUGGAGAGGUCAGUGGAAUUCCGAGUGUAGAGGUGAAAUUCGUAGAUAUUCGGAAGAACACCAGUGGCGAAGGCGACUGACUGGACAAGUAUUGACGCUGAGGUGCGAAAGCGUGGGGAGCAACAGGAUUAAGAACCUUG